CCCCUCUCUAGAUCGCACCUGGAGAGUAUCCAAUACUCUACUAGCCUCGGCUAGGGGAGUGAGAGUCAAGCAGAGGCCUACCCAUUCCAUUCUUAGCUUGGGCAGUGGCUAUCCAGUGGAAGGCAAUCUGUUACAAAU